rnacentral:rRNA from 1 species
CCUACGGGAGGCAGCAGUGAGGAAUAUUGGUCAAUGGCCGGAAGGCUGAACCAGCCAUGCCGCGUGUAGGUCAGUGCCCUAUGGGCGUUAAACUUCUUUUGUGCGGGAGCAAUAAUGGACACGUGUUGCCAGACGAGAGUACCGUACGAAUCAGAAUAGGCUAAAUCCGUGUCAGGAGCCGCGGUCAUGGUGGGGAUGCAGGCGGUAUCGUGAUUUAUAGGGGUUAAAGGGUGCGUACGCUGGGAGGUAAGUCAGAGGUGAAAUGCCCCGGCUCUACGGGGUGAAGUGCCAUUGAUACUGGCUAGCUUGAAUGCGGAUGACGUGGGAAGAAUGUGUGGUGUAGCGGUGAAAUGCAUAGAUAU